GGCAGAAAAACAGGCGUCCGACCACGCAUAAUGGAGGAUUCUAUUUCUUUUAUCAUGUAGCUAUAUCUAUAUGACCUCUGCCGCCGACUUUUUCACCCGUUGGCGCCUGUGCCCAAAUCCUUCUAAGACCGAAGUUUGCUGUUUCCACCUGUCCAAUAAGCUGGCACAUAAGACCCUCAGAGUUAGAUUCCGGGGUACAGCCUUACAACAUAACUAUUCCCCAAAGUAUCUCGGUGUUACACUGGACAGAAGCCUGACAUACCGAUUGCACAUAGAGAAGCUAAAAAGUAAAAUAAGGACCAGGAUAUUUUAAUUACGAUACAUAAAUAACUACUAAAACAUGUUUUCUGCAAGAAAUUAGUUAUCUUAUUAUAUUAUAAAAUAUUUAUUAUCCAUCUGUGAUGUUUAUUUCUUGUGAAGAUAUCGAAGUUUCGCUGUGUAGCACUUAUCGAUAUAUAAUAUGAUCAAAAUCGACCCGUCCACAUCCCUAAAAAUCCACACAUACACAUUUUUACGCACAUAUACAAAGCAGUAUAACCACCAAAAUGGCUACGGCUUGAGUAUUCAAAUUUGUAUUGAGAAAAGGCAACUAUAUCCUGUCUUUAUUUGCCUCUCUAUCGCUCGAAUAUGCAAUACGCAUGCACUCUUCGUCAAAAUCGGUUUCAAACUUUUUCGACUGAGUACGCGCAAUAAACGCCUAGUAGUAGUAUUUAAAUGUUUACCGUAUUCAUUUAAAGCAUCGUAGGACAAUGCCGCUAUGUAAACUGUAAGGUGGGUCUUAAAUUAGUGUGAGUUAUUUUGGCACCGGACUCAACCUUCACGUUACAAUAUUUAAAGUAUUGCGCUGUCAUAGUAACGAAAAUGAUAAACACGUCAAUCGGAGUAAACAAGUAACUAAAUGAUGCAAACAAGAAAAUAUUGCAAAAUAGGUACAUAUAUAUGUACCGAUAAUUAUUUUGUGUUAAAAAUAUGAGGCAAAUUAUACUGCCCGAUUAUACGGACUACAUAUUAAAAACGAUUAUCUUGGAAACAGUCAAUAGAUGUCGAACAACCAGCAAAGUUUUUGAAGAGGUGUAGUUCCUGGUACCAACUGGAAACUGAAACUAAUAAUCUACACUCAAGAAAAUGAAAUAUAGUCACAGAAAACUUUAAUGUUUUAUUUUAUUAAAGAAAAACGUUAAAAAAAUGUGUAAACAGAAAUAUAUAUUUUUUAAUUCGUA